rnacentral:misc_RNA from 1 species
UUACAAUUGGAGAAAAAAAGGCAUACCUGAGGGACUGCUGGGUACAAGCGAAGUGUCUCUGUGAUCACCGCAUGCAGAUAAUAUAAUUUGCCCAAUGAAUCAUAAGUCAAGAAUCCUGCAUAUUGCACUGCUCUUUGAGUGAAGGAUUCAAGAUCAUCGAAAUCAAACUGGAGCAAUGUAACACUCUCUUCCUUUGCCCUAUCUUCCUCAAAAGUUUUGAGCUCAUUGUAGAGCUUCUCAGCUACAUGGUUAUGUGUCAUUAUCAUGUAUAUGGCCCAUGAGAGAGUUGCUGCAGUUGUGUCUCGCCCAGCUAUCACAAAGUUGAGGACAACAUCUCUCAGACUUUUGUCUGUCAAUUUGCUUUCUGGGUCUUCACCUAACUCAAUGAACCUUGAUAAUAUGUCAUGUUUCACCUGAUUUUUCCAAUCAUAAACGAGUACUUUGGUUAGUGAAGCCAUUUAUUUUCUUAUUAGUCUACUGCAGAAAGCUUUUCUUAAUAUAAU